GACGAACGCUGGCGGCGUGCUUAACACAUGCAAGUCGAACGGAAAGGCCCUGCUUUUGUGGGGUGCUCGAGUGGCGAACGGGUGAGUAACACGUGAGUAAACUGCCCUUGACUUUGGGAUAACUUCAGGAAACUGGGGCUAAUACCGGAUAGGAGCUACUGCUGCAUGGUGGGGGAUGGAAAGAUUCGGCGGUUGUGGAUGGAAUCGCGGCUUAUCAGCUGGUUGGUGGGGUAGUGGCUUACCAAGGCUGUGACGGGUAGCCGGCCUGAGAGGGUGACCGGCGACCUUGCUACUGAGGUACGGCCCAGACUGCUACGGUAGGCAGCAGUGGGGAAUAUUGCGCAAUGAGCGGACGCCUGAUGCAGCAACGCCGCGUUCGGGAUGACGGCCUUCGGGUUGUAAACCGCUUUCGCCUGUGACGUAGCGUGCGUGACGGUAAUGGGUAAAGAAGCACCGGCUAACUACGUG
rnacentral:rRNA from 1 species